GAGCUGUUGCAGAGGCAGCCAACUGCUCCAUAUUUGGCUUCUAUUACCCAUUUACAUGCUGGAGAGAGGAGAGGGAGCGAGCGCUGUACCGCAGACAUCAUUUCUACUACAGCGGUGGAGACAUCCCGGACCUGUGUCACUGCAGGGGGAAGAAAAAAAGCCAAACAAACAAAAAAGCAGACCCACCCCCCGUGAUCAGCUAGGAAGACAUUUGUGUGCGAGUCUCUCUCUGACCCCCCCACCCCCGCCAACCCCACCUCCACUGACACUUUACAUCACAUCGUGGGCCAAACCAGAUGGGCAAGCAAUACAAGCUGUGAAUUUAUUCUUGACCCUGUAGGACAGUGACGACCUUCAUUUUUGUCUUCACCAUACAGUUAUGCACUGCCAAUAAGCAAAAAGGUCAAGAAAAGCACUAGCUCAGUGGCUGAAUUUUUCUGAAGUGCUUUACAGUAGGGAAAGUGGAGAAACCUCUUAAAGUGCUGUCU